CACGAAGAGAGAGGGAAAGCGAGAGAGGUAGAGUACCGUUUUGAUCAGAGAGAGGGUGAGGAGUUUGCAUGACUGGAGAUUUGAGCUUUUUUGGCGCAGGGAUUUUGGUCGUCGGUUGCUGACGAGUUGGCUACUAUUUGGUUGGAGUGCAAGGAUUCCUUAGCAGAUAAUUUUGUAUCGUCAAUAAUGUUUGUGUUGAUUCAUUGGUUUGAUUGCUGUCGGAAGUAAUUCUCUCUGAUGUUCUUAAUCUGCUGAAAAGAAAGAGUAGGAUUAUUCGGGAUUCAAUCUUUUUAGGGUUAUUUGGUUGGGAAAAAAGAAAGAAACAAAGUAGGAUCAAUAUUGGGGAACCUCUCCUUCUGGAAAAACAGGUCCAAUGGUGGCUGGAAUUUGGGAUCAAAGCUUAAACUAUUAAAUUAAAGUGAUUUGAUUGAUCAAUCAGUCCAUUCUCUACUUGAUCGAAGUCUUGGUUUUGCAGAUUUUUUAUUUCUGUUUCUUUCAGUAACUUUUUUUUUUGUUGGUGUUUAUUAUUGCAUGAGUCUUUGUUGUAUGGGUCUUUCUCCUUUUGAUUCUUUGUGAGGUGGUUUCCUCUGUUUAUUUGGUUUGUGAUUGAUUUUCAGGCAUAAAUACGAGAAGCCAAUUUCUGAUCAGGUAAGUUGAGGAUUAUCGUAAUCAUUAUUUUGAUAUUUACGCUAUCUCACCACAUGCACACACAAUAGGGUUUAGUUUAGGGUAAAGUAAACAGAAAGUGUAAUUACUAAUUUGAAUGUUGGUUUCUGCUUUAUUCAUUGUUUAUUUUAGUGGUCAAUAACAAUCAGUUAGGAACAUUUGGUUUUCUUAUGAAUCUUGAUGUUGGAUAUGAACACAAAGAAAUAAGCAUGAAAAGCUACGUUUGGGAAUUAGAUCCAUUUCAAUUAUCAAACACUGCCUCUCCAUGACUUAAUAAACAAUUAUAUAUACAGGCAAUUAUAAAAAGAUCUGCGAAGUCCAGAAAACUGUAGUCGAUGUGUUGUAAUUUUUCUUUUAGUUCUUGCUAAUAGUUUUUUCCAAGUGCUAUGUAAGUUAAUUGCCUUCAAAUUGAACUGCAAUCUAAUCAUGGAUGCUGCUGAAAAUCAAUUUCUUACAUCAACCUUGAAUUUUACUUACCAUAUGUUGUGAUUUGUGUUUUUUGCUUGGUUUUCUGUCAUUUCCUUACUCAGAGUUGUUUGAUGUUUGGGAUUUGUAGGGUCGCAGGUGGUAAUGACUUGGUUUGGUUGAAUGCACUGAACAUGUAAAUUUCGAAAUAUGGCAUCUUGUAUACAAUUUCCAGAUUUGCAUUUGGAAUCGAGCAAAGGGAGCUAAUUGUAGUUUGAAAAAUUGGGAUGCAGAAAGGUCAGAGAAGAAACUGAAGGUA